CGGCUAGGCUGCAGUCGAACGGGCCUUGUCAUUGGGUAACCGAAGGCAAGGUUAGUGGCGGACGGGUGAGUAAUACAUGAAUAACGUGCCCCGAACUCAGGCACAGCAGCGUCCCGACUUGUCGGGACUUUGCGAAAGUGCCGGUAAUUCCUGAUGAUCCCGCGGGAUCGCAUGUUUCCGCGGGCAAAGCUCCGGCGGUUUGGGAUCGGUUCAUGGCCUAUCAGCUUGUUGGUGGGGUAACGGCCCACCAAGGCGGCGACGGGUAGCGGGCGUGAGAGCGUGGCCCGCCACAUCGGGACUGAGACACUGCCCGGACACCUACGGGUGGCUGCAGCAACGAAUAUUCCGCAAUGGGCGCAAGCCUGACGGAGCGACGCCGCGUGCAGGAUGAAGGCGCUUUGCGUCGUAAACUGCUGUCAGGGGUUCGGAAGCUCUGACCAGCCCCAAAGGAAGCCUCGGCUAACUCCGUGCCAGCAGCCGCGGUAAUACGGAGGAGGCGAACGUUGUUCGGAAUCACUGGGCUUAAAGCGCAUGUAGGCGGAGUGGUAGGCGUCUAGUGAAAGCCCCCGGCUCAACCGGGGAAUGGCUGGGCGAACCCUCACUCUUGAGGCAGGCAGAGGCGAGUGGAACUAUGGGUGGAGCGGUGAAAUGCGUAGAGAUCCAUAGGAACGCCGGUGGCGAAAGCGACUCGCUGGGCCUGAUCUGACGCUGAGAUGCGAAAGCGUAGGUAGCAAACAGGAUUAGAUACCCUGGUAGUCUACGCUGUAAACGAUGCGCACUAGGUAUGAAAGGUUCUGACACUUUUCGUGCCGAAGCAAAAGUGUUAAGUGCGCCGCCUGGGGAGUACGGCCGCAAGGCUAAAACUCAAAGGAAUUGACGGGGGCUCACACAAGCGGUGGAGCAUGUGGAUUAAUUCGAAGCAACGCGCAGAACCUUACCUGGGUUUGACAUGCACGGAUGCCGCUCUGGAAACAGGGUUGGUUGCCUUCGGUGAACGUGCACAGUGCUGCAUGCUGUCGUCAGCUCGUGCUGUGAAGUGUCGGGUAGUCCCUUACGAGCGAACCCUUGUCCGCUAGUUGCCAGCGGUUCGGCCGGGGACUC
rnacentral:rRNA from 1 species